CAGCCAUGGACAGAGGUGUGCUGCUGGUUCUGUUGUGUCUGCAGGCUUUUCUGCUCAUCACAGCCUUCACUUCUACAGAUGCAGCCGCUGUGGUGACAGCUGAUCAACAACAGCAGUCUCCUGAUCAGGUGGAUGGAAUAAGUGUGCAGUACAAAGAAAAAAGAAGACGAAGAAAACGACAAAUGCCCAUCUGUAAACCGAGACCAAGUGAAUGUUGGCCCAAGUACUAUACGGUUUAAAAUACCUGGGAUGUACCAAAGAACAAAACUGAGACUGGAACACUCUUGGAAGCCAGAGAGAUUCCAAGUAUGCAGAGCCCUCAACCGACUGUGGACGUAUAAUUAAACAAUGUAACUGUGCUUGAUAUUUUGAAGAAUAAUAUUACUGUAUGAGUAGAUUGAAAUCACAUCUAUUGUGAAUUAUUGUGUAAGUGAAUAAAAAGUAAACAUAAAGAAAGCUCACCUGUGUACUCAAGCAACAGGAGUUUAAUUUUUAAUCCGUGAUUGAUUGGCUGACCUCGACAGAAACCAUGUUUGGCAAUCCUGCGAUGGCUCCAUUAUUGAUAUGUUUCCAUCUGCGUGACUUUUCCCCUUUUUAUUCGAGUCACUGACCUGAAGAAAAUGGAAGAAGCAAGACAUGAAUCAUAUUCUCU